GGCCUCUGCCUGUCCCGGGGGGAUGUCGGAUCUUGGGCUGUGUCCCCGGUGCCCUGUGCCCGGGGCCUGUGCUGUUGGAUUUGCGCUCCCGGCCGGGCAGGCCCCUCUCCGUGGAGCCUCCGCCUGAGCCCCUCCGAGCUGCUCCCAGGGCCGCACAUCCCCGCCCUCCUGAGGUCCUGCUCUAAUUCCCUCUGAGUGCCUUUCCACACGGGGAGAUUGGUGCAGCUCCUGCUUCUCUGGGACGGUGCUUUCCUGUUCUGGGGGCACUCGCCCUGGCCUUAGCUUGGCUCCUUGCGGGGCCCUUCCCUCUUGGAUGCCUUUUGUUUCUUUAUUUCUUCCCCCCCCCCCGUUUUCCUACCUUGAUAGAAGCGUGAACUCUUCUCACUGUAGCAUUCCAGCUGUUCUCUCUUUAAACCUCAGGUCGAAUUCAAGAUUUUCAGGAUGAUUUGAAGGUUAUUUAGGUUAUUUGGUGGGGACAGGUGACUUGGGGACCCUACUCUUCUGCCAUCUUUUAUGUAUCUGGAACAUGUUUCUUCAUGCCCCACAGGAACUGAUGACUGAUAAAGCAGAGGAGUCUGCUGUCGGGGCUCGCAGCCAAAUGAAACGUCCUGGAAAACCCAUCAUUCCACCUCCAUUUAAGAGAAUACUGAGGAUGACGCUGCUGUCAGCGAAAACGGGAAGCGAGGGAGUAUCCCACCCCAGGGGCUCAGCCAUGUCCUUGGAAGAUGAUUUCAAAGACAAGACGUAAUCAGUCACCUUGAGAAAGUACUCGACACACUUGAGUCAGACCACUUUCUCAACAAAGAUAUUCACACCCCAAAUUUGAACUCCCCUCAAGGAAGUGAUCAGUGAGAAAGCAGGGCUGUCCUGGGAUGCAACCAGAUAUUGUUGAUGCUUCCUAGCAGGAGUUUGCUAAGAAAAUUGCCUUCUUGUGGCUGACAAAAAGCCUUGCAACUUGAACGUAAUAAGUUUCUGUUAUUAAAACAUGGGCUUUUGCCCUAAGUAUUUAGUUUGAAUGGGUUGCGGUUUAUUUUUUUUCCUUCUGAAGUGGGACAUCACUAUUAAUUCAUCAGAUUAUACUAUAUCCUGGCUCCUCAGCAUGUCACAGGCCUGUAGCUGGUAUUUAUAAUUGUCUUCUACAGAAACGAGUCCCCCCCCCCCUUUUUAAGAGAGGGUGAGCAUGAAGUGGCAGAAGGAGGAGAGAGAUAUUCUUAAGCAGGUCCACAUCUGGCACAGAGCCUGAUGAGAUGCUCAAUGUUACAACCCUGAUAUCGUGACCUGUGCUGAAGUCAAGAGUGGGCCGCUGAAGUGACCUAAAUACCCG
rnacentral:lncRNA from 1 species